GGAAGGGUGGCCGAGUUGGUUAUGGCGCCAGGUUAAGGUCAGUUUAACAUCUGUUUCCUGGUGGGGCAACCCGCGCGAGUUCGAGUCUCGUCCCUUUCA
rnacentral:tRNA from 1 species